rnacentral:rRNA from 1 species
AGAGUUUGAUCCUGGCUCAGAACGAACGCUGGCGGCAGGCUUAACACAUGCAAGUCGAGCGCCCCGCAAGGGGAGCGGCAGACGGGUGAGUAACGCGUGGGAAUCUACCCAGAUCUACGGAACAACAGAGGGAAACUUCUGCUAAUACCGUAUACGCCCUACGGGGGAAAGAUUUAUCGGAUUUGGAUGAGCCCGCGUAAGAUUAGCUAGUUGGUGAGGUAAUGGCUCACCAAGGCGACGAUCUUUAGCUGGUCUGAGAGGAUGAUCAGCCACACUGGGACUGAGACACGGCCCAGACUCCUACGGGAGGCAGCAGUGGGGAAUAUUGGACAAUGGGCGCAAGCCUGAUCCAGCCAUGCCGCGUGAGUGAUGAAGGCCUUAGGGUUGUAAAGCUCUUUCAGUAGGGAAGAUAAUGACGGUACCUACAGAAGAAGCCCCGGCUAACUUCGUGCCAGCAGCCGCGGUAAUUC